AACGAACGCUGGCGGCGCGCCUAAUACAUGCAAGUUGAGCGAGAAGACGUAGCAAUACGUUUGUAAAGCGGCGAACGGGUGAGGAAUACAUGGGUAACCUACCCUCGAGUGGGGAAUAACUAGCCGAAGGUUAGCUAAUACCGCGUACGCUCCUUGGACUUCGGUUCAGGGAGGAAAGCGAUACCGUGGGUAUCGCGCUCUUGGAUGGGCUCAUGUCCUAUCAGCUUGUUGGUGAGGUAACGGCUCACCAAGGCUUCGACGGGUAGCUGGUCUGAGAGGACGAUCAGCCACACUGGCACUGCGACACGGGCCAGACUCCUACGGGAGGCAGCAGUAAGGAAUAUUGCGCAAUGGGCGAAAGCCUGACGCAGCGACGCCGCGUGGGGGAGUGGAA
rnacentral:rRNA from 1 species